UACGUAGGGUGCAAGCGUUGUCCGGAAUUAUUGGGCGUAAAGCGCUCGUAGGCGGCUCGUCGCGUCGGCUGUGAAAACCUGGGGCUCAACCCCGGGCCUGCAGCCGAUACGGGCGAGCUAGAAUUCGGUAGGGGAGACUGGAAUUCCUGGUGUAGCGGUGAAAUGCGCAGAUAUCAGGAGGAACACCGGUGGCGAAGGCGGGUCGCUGGGCCGAUAUUGACGCUGAGGAGCGAAAGCGUGGGGAGCGAACGGG
rnacentral:rRNA from 1 species